GACGAACCGUGCGAACGUUGUUCGGAAUCACUGGGCUUAAAGGGCGCGUAGGCGGCCCGCGAGGUCGGGGGUGAAAUCCCACGGCUCAACCGUGGAAGGGCCUCCGAUACCGGCGGGCUGGAGGAAGGUAGGGGUGCGCGGAACUUCUGGUGGAGCGGUGAAAUGCGUUGAUAUCAGAAGGAACGCCGGCGGCGAAAGCGGCGCACUGGACCUUUUCUGACGCUGAGGCGCAAAAGCCAGGGGAGCAAACGGG
rnacentral:rRNA from 1 species